rnacentral:rRNA from 1 species
AGGGUUCGAUUCUGGCUCAGGACGAACGCUGGCGGCGUGCUUAACACAUGCAAGUCGAACGCUGAAGCUCAGCUUUUGUUGGGUGGAUGAGUGGCGAACGGGUGAGUAACACGUGAGUAACCUGCCCUCUUCUUUGGGAUAACGCCCGGAAACGGGUGCUAAUACUGGAUAUUCACUGAUCUUCGCAUGGGGGUUGGUGGAAAGGUUUGUUCUGGUGGGGGAUGGGCUCGCGGCCUAUCAGCUUGUUGGUGGGGUGAUGGCCUACCAAGGCUUUGACGGGUAGCCGGCCUGAGAGGGUGACCGGUCACAUUGGGACUGAGAUACGGCCCAG